UUUUCAAGAUUCAAGAUUUAUUUUUUGAAUAUUUGGACAAUCCAGAGCAUGCACACAGACAAAGAAAACAGUAGAAUCCAAGACCAGCAGGACAGUGAGUUUUUCUUCAUUUUGUUUU